AACGAACGCUGGCGGCAUGCCUAACACAUGCAAGUCGAACGAGACCUUCGGGUCUAGUGGCGCACGGGUGCGUAACACGUGGGAAUUUGCCUCGGGGUAUGGAAUAACUCAGGGAAACUUGAGCUAAUACCAUAUAAUGUCUUCGGACCAAAGAUUUAUCGCCCUGAGAUAAGCCCGCGUAGGAUUAGCUAGUUGGUGGGGUAAAGGCUCACCAAGGCGACGAUCCUUAGCUGGUCUGAGAGGAUGAUCAGCCACACUGGGACUGAGACACGGCCCAGACUCCUACGGGAGGCAGCAGUGGGGAAUAUUGGACAAUGGGCGAAAGCCUGAUCCAGCCAUGCCGCGUGUGUGAAGAAGGUCUUCGGAUUGUAAAGCACUUUAAGUUGGGAGGAAGGGUAGUAACCUAAUAACGUUGCUACUUUGACGUUACCGACAGAAUAAGCACCGGCUAACUUCGUGCCAGCAGCCGCGGUAAAGUGUGACUG
rnacentral:rRNA from 1 species